rnacentral:rRNA from 1 species
CUACGGGGAGCUCCAGUGAGGAAUAUUGCACAAUGGGGGGAACCCUGAUGCAGCAACGCCGCGUGGAGGAUGACGCAUUUCGGUGUGUAAACUCCUUUUAUAUGUCAAGAAAAUGACGGUAGCAUAUGAAUAAGCACCGGCUAACUCCGUGCCAGCAGCCGCGGUAAUGCGGAGGGUGCAAGCGUUACUCGGAAUCACUGGGCGUAAAGGACGCGUAGGCGGGUUGGAAAGUCAGGUGUGAAAUCCUACAGCUUAACUGUAGAACUGCACUUGAAACUUCUAAUCUAGAGUAUGGGAGGGGGAGAUGGAAUUAGUGGUGUAGGGGUAAAAUCCGUAGAUAUCACUAGGAAUACCUAAAGCGAAGGCGAUCUUCUGGAACAUUACUGACGCUAAGGCGUGAAAGCGUGGGGAGCAAACAGGAUUAGAUACCCGUGUAGUC